rnacentral:lncRNA from 10 species
CUUAGGAAUAAAUGUUGCUGGUAGCUCAUCCUGUGACCUCCUGCAUGGCUAUCCUGAUGCACUGUCAAAUCCAAGAUGAACCAUACAGGAUGAUUGAGGAAGGUGGCAAGGACAGACCCAUUGUAAGCUACAGUAUACCAAGGAGAGGUAUUCUGAUACUAGAAGAUGGCCCCAGGAUGGAAGACAUGAGCAUCCCAAUGACAGAAAAGGAAAAUGUUCUUUUGCAAAUUAAUAUGUGGCUGGUCUAGUUUGUAUCCUUUAGUGUGUGUGAGUGUCAUAGAUGAAAGUCUAUCUGACUAGGACCAAGUCUAGAACACUGACAAACACUGGGAGACAAGAUUUUUAGGGUGAAACCAAAGAAAAGCCCUUCUGAACAAUGUGCUUGUAGAAGACUUGUAACCUUGUGUGGUAUAAUUAAGAUAUAUACAUAUAGUCAUGUACCAUAUAACAUUUAACAAUGGACUGCCUAUGUGAAAGGGGUCCCAUAAAAUUAUCAUGGAGUUGAAAAAUUCCUGUAGCCUAGUAUUUACUAAGGGGUAUGAUAUGGUUUGGCCCUGUGUCUCCAUUCAAAUCUCACCUUGAAUUGUAAUCUCUAUAAUCCCCAGGUGUCAUGGGUAAGACCAGGUGGAGGUAACUGGAUCAUGGUGGUGGUUUCCCCCAUGCUGUUCUCCUGAUACUGAGUGAGUUCUCAUGAGAUCUGAUGGUUUUAUAAGCAUCUGGCAUUUCCCCUGCUUGCACUCACUCCAUCCCGCUGCCCUGUGAAGAAGGUGCCUGCUUCUUCUUUGCCUUCUGUCAUGAUUGUAAGUUUCCUGAGGCCUCCCCAGCAAUGUGGAACUGUGACUCAAUUAAACCUCUUUCCUUUAUAAAUUACCCAGUCUCAGGUAAUUUUUCACAGCAGCAUGAGAAUGGACUAAUACAGGAUACUUCAGAAAGUUUGUGGAAAAAUAG